rnacentral:rRNA from 1 species
AUUGAACGCUGGCGGCAUGCCUUACACAUGCAAGUCGAACGGUAACAGGUCUUCGGAUGCUGACGAGUGGCGAACGGGUGAGUAAUACAUCGGAACGUGCCCAGACGUGGGGGAUAACGAGGCGAAAGCUUUGCUAAUACCUUAUACGAUCUAAGGAUGAAAGCAGGGGACCGCAAGGCCUUGCGCGUGUGGUGCGGCCGAUGGCAGAUUAGGUAGUUGGUGGGUUAAAAGCUUACCAAGCCGACGAUCUGUAGCUGGUCUGAGAGGACGACCAGCCACACUGGGACUGAGACACGGCCCAGACUCCUACGGGAGGCAGCAGUGGGGAAUUUUGGACAAUGGGCGAAAGCCUGAUCCAGCAAUGCCGCGUGAAGGAUGAAGGCCUUCGGGUUGUAAACUGCUUUUGUACGGAACGAAAAGGCUCUGGCUAAUACCUGGGGAACAUGACGGUACCGUAAGAAUAAGCACCGGCUAACUACGUG